rnacentral:ncRNA from 2 species
CGCGCUGCUGAUGGGAGAGAUGGGCCAGCCCCACGCCGAAGGAGCAACCACCCCGGAAACUCUCAGGCAAAAGGACCACAGCAGUGAA